AGAGUUUGAUCGUGGCUCAGAUUGAACGCUGGCGGCAUGCCUUACACAUGCAAGUCGAACGGCAGCACGGGAGCUUGCUCCUGGUGGCGAGUGGCGAACGGGUGAGUAAUAUAUCGGAACGUACCCUAGAGUGGGGGAUAACGCAGCGAAAGUUGCGCUAAUACCGCAUACGAUCUACGGAUGAAAGUGGGGGAUCGCAAGACCUCAUGCUCAUGGAGCGGCCGAUAUCUGAUUAGCUAGUUGGUAGGGUAAAAGCCUACCAAGGCUUCGAUCAGUAGCUGGUCUGAGAGGACGACCAGCCACACUGGAACUGAGACACGGUCCAGACUCCUACGGGAGGCAGCAGUGGGGAAUUUUGGACAAUGGGCGCAAGCCUGAUCCAGCAAUGCCGCGUGAGUGAAGAAGGCCUUCGGGUUGUAAAGCUCUUUUGUCAGGGAAGAAACGGUUCUGGUUAAUACCUGGGGCUAAUGACGGUGCCUGAAGAAUAAGCACCGGCUAACUACGUGCCAGCAGCCGCGGUAAUACGUAGGGUGCAAGCGUUAAUCGGAAUUGCUGGGCGUAAAGCGUGCGCAGGCGGUUAUGUAAGACAGAUGUGAAAUGCCCGGGCUCAACCUGGGAACUGCAUUUGUGACUGCAUGGCUAGAGUGUGUCAGAGGGGGGUAGAAUUCCACGUGUAGCAGUGAAAAUGCGUAGAGAUGUGGAGGAAUACCGAUGGCGAAGGCAGCCCCCUGGGAUAACACUGACGCUCAUGCACGAAAGCGUGGGGAGCAAACAGGAUUAGAUACCCUGGUAGUCCACGCCCUAAAACGAUGUCUACUAGUUGUCGGGACUUAAUUGUCUUGGUAACGCAGCUAACGCGUGAAGUAGACCGCCUGGGGAGUACGGUCGCAAGAUUAAAACUCAAAGGAAUUGACGGGGACCCGCACAAGCGGUGGAUGAUGUGGAUUAAUUCGAUGCAACGCGAAAAACCUUACCUACCCUUGACAUGUACGGAAGCCACGAGAGAUCGAGGUGUGCUCGAAAGAGAGCCGUAACACAGGUGCUGCAUGGCUGUCGUCAGCUCGUGUCGUGAGAUGUUGGGUUAAGUCCCGCAACGAGCGCAACCCUUGUCAUUAGUUGCUACGAAAGGGCACUCUAAUGAGACUGCCGGUGACAAACCGGAGGAAGGUGGGGAUGACGUCAAGUCCUCAUGGCCCUUAUGGGUAGGGCUUCACACGUCAUACAAUGGUACAUACAGAGGGCCGCCAACCCGCGAGGGGGAGCUAAUCCCAGAAAGUGUAUCGUAGUCCGGAUUGUAGUCUGCAACUCGACUACAUGAAGUUGGAAUCGCUAGUAAUCGCGGAUCAGCAUGUCGCGGUGAAUACGUUCCCGGGUCUUGUACACACCGCCCGUCACACCAUGGGAGCGGGUUUCACCAGAAGUAGGUAGCCUAACCGUAAGGAGGGCGCUUACCACGGUGGGAUUCGUGACUGGGGUGAAGUCGUAACAAGGUAGCCGUAUCGGAAGGUGCGGUUGGAUCACCUCCUU
rnacentral:rRNA from 1 species